rnacentral:snRNA from 1 species
GUGCUUGCUUAAGCAGCAUGUAUACUAAAAUUGCAACUACACAGUAGAUCACAGGGCCUAGAGCAAGGAUGAUAUAGAAGUUUAUGAAGCAUUCCAUAUUUUU